AUGGAAGUACAACAGUUAUAUUCGUUGAACUCUACUGAGAAUUUUGGUGCAGAACAUAACACCAAUAACGAGUUUACCACAAAUACACAAGACGAAGAAAUUUUUAGGAUACCAGAAGAUGAUUAUAGCUAUUUGGAUGAAACAUCUUNAGCUCCGGAAGUUUUUCACGAAAUACAUACUGUACACGAAAUCAUUGACAAUAAUAGAUCUCCACGAGUGGAAGGAACUUGCAUUAUAUGUAUAAAUGAAAGAGCGUCCUAUGUCUUUGUGCCAUGUGGACAUUUAUGCUCAUGUGAAAAUUGUUAUAGCAAUUUAGUUCAUAGAANAUGUCCAAUGUGUAACUUACAAUAUGAUAAUUGCAUAAGAACAAUAUCAUCAUAAAAAAGAAAUAUCAUCAAUUCAUUGAGUGCAGUUACAAGUGCUGCCUCUUCUAAAAAAAUGACAAAAAUACAAAAGGUAAAUCGUCCAAACCGGAAAACUACCAUCAAUAAAUAAGUAACAUUUACACAACGCAAUAUGAAUUUCGAUAGAGUUAUUUUGUAGUGUUUGAUUAUACAUAUGUGAUAUUCUAUGAUAAUUUGUUUACACUGGUGCUAUAAGUAAUAGUAAAUAAGAAUAAGUAACUUUUAAGUUUACAAUAGACUUAGUACUCGCCAAAGACAGUUUAUUCGUCGUCCACUUGGAUUGUAAGUUUUCGUUCUAUUUCUUAUUCUC